rnacentral:rRNA from 1 species
GAUGAACGCUAGCGACAGGCUUAACACAUGCAAGUCGAGGGGCAGCAUGAUUAGUAGCAAUACUAAUUGAUGGCGACCGGCGCACGGGUGAGUAACGCGUAUGCAACCUACCUAUCAGAGGGGGAUAGCCCAUCGAAAGAUGGAUUAAUACCGCAUAAAACAGGGGCCUCGCAUGAGGAUAUUUGUUAAAGAGAUUCGCUGAUAGAUGGGCAUGCGUUCCAUUAGUUAGUUGGUGAGGUAACGGCUCACCAAGACAUCGAUGGAUAGGGGUUCUGAGAGGAAGGUCCCCCACACUGGUACUGAGACACGGACCAGACUCCUACGGGAGGCAGCAGUGAGGAAUAUUGGUCAAUGGGCGAGAGCCUGAACCAGCCAAGUCGCGUGAAGGAUGACUGCCCUAUGGGUUGUAAACUUCUUUUAUAUGGGAAUAAAAAACACUACGUGUAGUGUAUUGCAUGUACCAUAAUGAAUAAGCAUCGGCUAACUCCGUGCCAGCAGCCGCAGUAAAAC